rnacentral:tRNA from 2 species
GGAUUAAUAGUUAAAGAAUAAUAAGAGUCUUGUAAACUCUAGUUAGCAUGGUCUUUAAUCCU